AUGUUCUCUACAUCUCUACUGCUCCUGCUGGCAGCUGCUUCUUAUGUGCAUGGUGAGGAACUGACUCAGCCUGCUUCCAUGACAGUCCAGCCAGGCCAGAGUCUCUCCAUCCAGUGCAAGGUUUCAUAUUCACUUACGAGCUAUGCAACAAAUUGGAUUCGACAACCUGCUGGAAAAACUCUGGAAUGGAUUGGAUACAUCAGCAGUGGUGGGAGUACAGGUUACAGUGACAAACUGAAAAAUAAGUUCAGCAUCUCCAGAGACACUUCUACUAACACAAUAACAAUUGGAGGACAGAACAUGCAGACUGAAGACACAGCUGUGUAUUACUGCGCUCGUUACACACAGUGAGACAGA